GCCAGCUGGACGACUAGCGACGGGCUGGCUACCGCGAAUGCAAAGUGAGAAACGACUCCGAGGAAAUACAUUCUGUGUGGAUCCAGACAGCGGAGCGGACAGUCAUGAGAGCAGACAGACCAGGAAGUGGCUCCAGAUACGUCACUCCCGACCAACCAAAACACCAGACGCUAACUCCGCCCGCUCUCCAAACCUCCCCAUGACCACAGAGGGUGGACAGACAGGCAGCUCAUAUUUCCAAGGAUGACCUUUGUCAAGAGUCUCUUGAUCACAUGAUGUCCAGAAACGUGGGGUGAUAAUUCCAGGCUAUUCACAACAUGAUGGAUGAGGUCGCCCUUGUGCCCUGAACCGCGUCUGCAGCCGUCUCACAGAAAGAAAAUGCGGCCCCUGUCCAUUCUCUUCACUCCUUUCUCAUGGAAAUGACCGCUCCAUGCACAGACAAACACACACAGACACACUCACACACUGUGCGGUGGGAACAGGUCAAGGCUGCGGUCCACAAAGGGGAACACUGACCAGUGAGAACUCUCUCAGCAAAGCUCUGGGCUCCUAUACAUUACUGGGAGAGACUGCUAAUGAGAAAGCCAGGGGCCCCCGGCCAAAAGUUUUUUUUUUUUCUUCUUCUUUUCAAGGCAAGAUGCCCAGAGCUAUUAAAACAGCAAGCUCCAACUGAAUGGAGAAAGCAGAUGUUCCAUACUCAGGGUUAAGGGAGGUGAGAGCAGAGGGGAAUGCCUUCAGAAACGCCUUAAGGGAUAUGUAGUUCAUUGUGGAUCACAGAUUGGACUAUUAAAGUGUAUGUAGGAAUUUGCUGCUCAUUCGUGCCACCUAAAUAAAUUGUGUUUCUGGUAAA